rnacentral:rRNA from 1 species
GGCGAACGGGUGAGUAACGCGUGAGGAACCUGCCUCAAAGAGGGGGACAACAGUUGGAAACGACUGCUAAUACCGCAUAAGCCCACGGCUCGGCAUCGAGCAGAGGGAAAAGGAGCAAUCCGCUUUGAGAUGGCCUCGCGUCCGAUUAGCUAGUUGGUGAGGUAACGGCCCACCAAGGCAACGAUUGGUAGCCGGACUGAGAGGGUGAUCGGCCACAUUGGGACUGAGACACGGCCCAAACUCC